GGUGAUUGUUAAGUUUGGUUGUAGUUGUAGUUGGUGGAUGGGUUAAAGGUUUGGUCAAAGUUAGUGGGUGGAGGUGUCAUGAAUUGGUUAUAGGGUGGAGGUGUAUUUGACCACAUAUUUUCAUCUGGCACCGUAUAAGAUACUGGCACUGCAGGAUAGUCACGUGACAAUCCUGAUAAAAUUCUUGCACAUGCUUGCCUUGGAUUUGACAAUAAUACUUCUCUAGAAAGCCACAAAUGAUCUCCGAAAAAUUCCAAUACCAUGCAAAAUAUUGACGAUUUGGAUAAACCUCAUGGUUAUACCGAACGCCGUGAAGUGCUAAUUGAUGACGUUGGUUCCAGUUUUGGACUUGACGAUGAUGCUU
rnacentral:lncRNA from 1 species